AGGUCUCAACAAAUGGCAGCUAUUACAUCAGACAGUGACGAGUCCUGCUGCUCCCUUACAGUGUCUGACAGACCACUGUGGAUUCAGACUGGGAGCAUUGAAGUUAACAGUGAAACGGGCAGCACAAAGACAUUAGCAGGCUGCUGGUUUCAUGGACCUGUACCACAAUGACAGAGAACAUCAGAGCAUCAGGACUGAAUGAAAUUGGAGAUUUUUAAAGCUGCACUAAGAAGUAAAUGUUAAGGCAGUGGUUAAACCCAACAGUCUAUAAAGGGGCACUUGCAUUAUAAUAAACUGAAGAAAAGGUAUUAGGGAAUAUUUUCUAAAACUACUGCAAUAAAUUAUGCAUGAGAUGAGGAGAAAGUGAUGUGAAUACACAUAAGAACUCACUUGAAUCUUACGUAUGGAGAAUCACUGACAAUAACUUCCUUAGAAUGUGAAGUUCUUAUCAGUACAGUUUGGACAGGCCUAAAGGGCACGGGAUGAUGCAGAAAUGCUGAAUUAUUUUUCAUACCUAAACUUUGUGCUUGCUCCAAGGCUUAUGUUAAUCAGUUCAGAUAUGAGCAAUGGUAUUUCUAGAAUGGUUCUUAUGAAACAGCAAUAGUCUCGUGCUAAGGCCAAUGUCUCCUUCAGGGUGCCAGUGGAAAUAAGAGGAAAGAUUAUCUAACAUCCCGCUGGAGGGAUGGCAAAGUGCCCCACUCCACAAACAAAUUUGGAUCAUUUCUUUCUUUAAUAAAGCAGGGCUGUAUUAUCUUGAAUACAUGUUUGCUUGUUAGAACAUAUUAAGGUGUAUUUAUUUGCCACUAGUAUUUAACAUUUUGUGCACAUUUUCAUAACUACAUGCUUAUCUUUUCAUAUUUUGACUCCAAGUGGAUAGUCUAGUGUUGACCUUGGAGUGAAAAUGUAUACUCCAAGAGCUAGUUCUUAAUUUACCGAGCUGGAAAAAGUUUUAUUCUUGUCUCUGUCCUUAUUGAUUUUAUCUUGUUCAGAAGAGGUAACAACAUCUGAAUUUUGAUGUGGACCUCUUUACAGAGAGCCCCUCCGUCUAAUUGCAAGAAAUUCUCACAGGUGUCAGGUAGGACUUGGCCCUGGGGGAUGAGUGGCCAGAAGAGAUCCAUAAAGAUAGCUUGAACUUUCUGUGCAUGGAACAUGAAUUCUUAGUAGAGACCAUAAUUUCUUUCUUUGAUAAGUACGUAUUAUGAAAAACUUUAAUUUUUCUUUUUUAAUGAAUGGAUAAAACAUGAGAAAAUCAGAUGGACCUGUUAGUACUACAUUUUUAAGGCAUUUUAUAUUUGAUGGUGCCGUACUUUUAAUAAAAAAACCGAAGUUUUUUAGUGGCAAUACUGAUUUAUUUUUUAAAUCAGAAAGAUUAUUCCAUAUUGGUUACUUGUUAAAAAAAAAAAGAAAAAAAUGCCAAAAAAAAAACCAAAACACAAAAAACACCACAAAUUCAUUUGAAGCAACAUAAUAGAUAGCUGAGCACUUGGCUCAGGUGUUCUAACUUUCCGUGAUCUUACUGUAUAGGUUUGGAAUUACCUAAUGACCACAUGCUCAGGAUUGAUAAAAUGUUCUAGGUGAAAGUUUUAGAAUAUUUAAUUUAUCUGACUGAUUGUUUUUUACAACUCAAGAAAACAGACAGUCUUGAGCCUUGUGAACUUAAUACAAAUCCURAUUACAUUGCAAGUAAUUAAAAGUGUUGACUGCAUCCUACAGUUGUCUUUUUGGAAGAUUCAGUAUUAUGAAGUCAUUAUAUAUCUUAUCAAAUUGGAAAAAGUCAGCUCAGGAACUAUAGCAGCAGGAAAUUCUAAAGAUGACAGGUACUAUCAGGUGCCCUACUCUAGAUGGCCCAAGGGUGAUGGCAUGGGUCAUCUUGGCCUUUCAGAUACCUAACACCAGCAGUACCUUUUAGGCUCACUUCAAGAACCAGAUGACUCCCAAGCCUUGGUGGGAUUACAUGUGGAUUGUAUAAUGAGGAUUUUAAACUAAGCUUUAGGAUUCUUUGUGUAGAGUAAUGGGAAUGACCAAGAAGUAAUAAUAUAAAGGCAAAAUAAAUGGGAGAGAUCAAGUUUUAAGUAUCUAAAUAUUUUUUUCUCAUAAUAAAUUCUCAAAGAUGUUUUGUUACAAACUAGAUUUUCAUUUUUUAAAAAAUGAAACUUGGUGGUAUUUAAAAUCUAGACCAUGUUGUGACAUCACUUAUAUUGCUUUAGUUGCUUAAUAUUUAAGCUUUGCUUCAUGCUACCUUUUGUCUGUAUUUCAAAUCUUCACAAGCCUAUUUCAUUUUGUAGACUUGAAUGACAAAAAUUGUUUCUCAUCUUAAGUAUGCUCAGAGUUAAAUGUUAAAGAAUGUUGUGUAACACUUAUCCAAUAAAGUCUUUGAUUUUUUUAAAAUUUA